rnacentral:lncRNA from 1 species
CCCCUUAGCAGUGCAUGUGAUUUGGUCAUGUUAAAGAUGAAGCGGGUCCCCAGGAUGGCAGAGUGCUGCAUCCUGUUACCAUGGGAACAGGAGAUGCCAUGUCCCAUAGGACCUGCAGACCAAAGCUUGAGCAGCACUGAUCAAAGCCAGCAGAAGGCUCAAACACAAACGCACGUGCGUGUUAGAGCAUAUGUCGUGCAUUCCUACGGGAGCUCUGCCAGCUCUUAAUUCCCCGCUCCUGUCUGAGAAAAGCACCUACAGACAUGGAUACAUAUCGCUGAGCAUCUCCUGCACCACAGCCGCAUUGGAAAGAAGCCGCAAAACCAGAGCACAAUGUCCUUCAGCUGCUCCACAGUCCUGGAAUCUAUUGGCACUUUCACACAGGGACACAUGAAGGGGAGGAGUGGUAACUGCAUAAAGAUACUUGUAAUCAGAUUUAGAAGCACCAGGAAGGCUGGAGAAGAGCUCGGGAGGUCAGCCACCAAAACACACACUCCCAUAUUAUCCCAGAUACCUUCUCCUAACCCUAUAAAUCCAAACACAAAUGCUCACAUUGCAAAACAAAACAAAACAAUCUUAAAGACAUUCAGGAAAGCAAAACCAUUUUUUACUUUUGCUGCUUUAUUCCUGUAAAAGGUAAGGUUUUGUCCACCACCACUCCUGCAAACAUCACCCCCAGCUUGUUGCCUGUGCCUGGGGUCAACUAUUUGCCCUCAGUGCCUUAUGUCGCAUCUCUGUUCCACUGGAGGACGUGGAAUGCAAUAGGAACUUUCUGCCUCAGCAGCACUUUAGCACAACUGUUUGCUUAACUGUUGCAAG